ACUAUAUCCUAUAUAUGUCAUAUAACGAUCGGAAUUGGCAUAACUUUGGUGUUUUUUAAGUUAGAACGAUGGGAUUGGUACAGAUACCAUUUCGCACAAAAUAAUACUCAUACGACCCGUGGCAAUGUAAAAAUUUUUAUACAUAUUUCAGAAUGCUCCCAAUGAGUACAGGAAGUGGAAAAUAUUUUCCAUUUCUUGUGCAAAUCUGAAGGGAGAUUUGCAAAUUGUUUACUUGAAAACGCUUCGCAGUAUCGAAUGCUUCCUGGGAAGAAUUUUCAAUUCCUUCUCGGUCCAUCCAUUCGGAUGGGGAAGAAGCGUUCGAGAAGUUUAAAGAGUUUCAUGACCCACAUAAAGCAGUGACAUUUAUGGCAACGUUAGCUGCUGUGAGGUCUCAAAUAAUGCAUGGAAAACCACGAAAACUGCAAAAUAUAUUUACUAAACUUUGCAUAUGCUCAGACUCACUUUCUGGCAUCGACGCAAUAAAAACCACUAACAACAGCGAACAUUAUAUCUCAAAGGCCCGUAAAUUUCUACAAAAAUACAAUAAUUUAAAUUACUUUGGAUCCCCGGUAUCACGUAGGAAUACCUGGAAACGAAUUUGCAGACGCCCAACCACUUACAACCAUCGAAAACUUAAACACACAGGACAUAUUAAAAUAUAUUAAAAAUACAUAUCUCUCGAAAAUGCAAUUAAACAUAUCCAAAACUUCACGCUGGUACCAAGCAAUUAAUCAUACCCCUAUGUCUAAAAAAUACAAACUUAUAUCACAUCAUUUAAGAUAAUUCAAAUUAAGCCAAAAUAUAUAAAAUAUUAU